rnacentral:rRNA from 1 species
CUACGGGGCGCUCCAGCGAGGAAUUUUGCGCAAUGGGGGAAACCCUGACGCAGCAACGCCGCGUGAGUGAAGAAGGCCUUUGGGUCGUAAAGCUCUGUCAACUGGGAAGAAGUUAACCAUGAUUAAUAGUUGUGGUUAUUGACGGUACCAGUGGAGGAAGCGCCGGCUAACUCCGUGCCAGCAGCCGCGGUAACACGGGGGGCGCAAGCGUUAUUCGGAAUCAUUGGGCGUAAAGGGCGCGCAGGCGGUCUUGUCAGUCAGGUGUGAAAGCCCGGGGCUCAACCCUGGAAGUGCACUUGAAACAGCAAGACUUGAGUACGGGAGAGGAGAGAGGAAUUCCUGGUGUAGAGGUGAAAUUCGUAGAUAUCAGGAGGAACACCGAUGGCGAAGGCAUCUCUCUGGACCGAUACUGACGCUGAGGCGCGAAGGCGUGGGUAGCGAACGGGAUUAGAUACCCCAGUAGUC